UAAUACGUAGGGGGCAAGCGUUGUUCGGAAUUACUGGGCGUAAAGGGCGCGUAGGCGGCCCGAGCAAGUCGGGAGUGAAAGCCCGGGGCUCAACCCCGGAACGGCUCACGAAACUGCGGGGCUCGAGUGCGGAAGAGGCAAUCGGAAUUCCCAGUGUAGCGGUGAAAUGCGUAGAUAUUGGGAAGAACACCGGAGGCGAAGGCGGAUUGCUGGGCCGACACUGACGCUGAGGCGCGAAAGCCAGGGGAGCAAACGGGAUUAGAUACCCCGGUAGUCCUGGCCCUAAACGAUGGAUACUUGGUGUGUGGGGUUCUCUGAGUCCCCGCGUGCCGGAGUCAACGCGUUAAGUAUCCCGCCUGGGGAGUACGGUCGCAAGGCUG
rnacentral:rRNA from 1 species